GACAAAGCUGUCAUUGGUUUUUUGAUCUUCCUCAUAUCCGCCGCUCUGCUUCUGGUGGCCUGCGUGUGCUACAGGAAGCUCAGAAAGCGUAGGAGUGACGUGGAUGAAAAUGUGGCUCCGGAAGCAAUUUACAUGAACACACGACCUCCUGGGUGGCGUCAUAAAGAAGCUCAGUAACCAAGAACAUCGCGGAGCAUCAAACUAAAUCUCCAUAAACUCUUUAUGUUUAUUAUUUAAGUUGUUCAGUCUUCAUUUGGUCAUUUUUCCAUUUUAGCAAUAAAAAACUACUUAUUUUGUUU